AUUUUCACUACUGUAAAUACAUUCAAUAUUGCACUACUGUAUAAUUUAUCUGUCACAUAAUCAUAUUUAUAGACUGUUUAUAGCCUGUACAUACUUAUAGUUAUAGCAUAUUCAUAACAAUGUUAUAUACCCGUGACAUACUCAUGUAUAUAUCUCCUUCAUACCUGUUAGGUCUAAAACCUGCAACAUUUACCUGAUAACAUAUAAAGAAGAGAAAGACAAUGGUAUAUACUCGAGGAGAAUGGACCGAGAUAGCUUCAGGUACCAUCUCGAAACCACUCUGAAAGGUAUUUCCGCCCAGUCUCUUUUAUUUAGGGUUGUCCCUGGUCACACAAUGUUUCUAAAGGGUGGGGAAAAAUAUGUGUAGCAACGUAAGCACUCUCAUAAAGCAUAAUAAUGAACAACUUGUGAAUAUGUGAAGGUCAAGGCGGCAUCUAACGAGCUCCUUCUGAUAAGCGUGUCCUCCCCUUAUUUCCUUCCCACGAUUCAUAGUGGAGGAUACAUCACACACACCUGCUGAUAGGAGAAACGAGUUCACAGAGAAGUUAAGAAACAUUCAUGUGCUGUGUAAUUAAGCUAUUGGAGAGAGAAGUUAGAAAACACUCUUAUAUGAUAAAAAUACUCUUAUAUGAUGUAUAAAAAGAGGUCAAAGGAGUUUAUACUUGUAGUAUAAACUCUUACAUAAGAAUAUGAGGAAUAAUGAUAACUUCUAUAUACAUUUAUGCACAUUAUUCUAACAUUUCCCUCCUGUUUAUCAUUACUUUGCUCAAAUUCUCAUAAUCCCUCUAGUUCAGCCACUUCUCUCGAUUUUCAGCUGCGAGUUCAUGUUUAUAACUACAAAGAAUUUACACACGGAGGUACAAGAUGUUGCUUUAGUCAGAAUUAUACUCAUCAUCCGGACUGGGGCACAGGUCAGGCCAUUGAGUGUCAUCAAGUCUGUCCUCCUCGUCCUGCUGAUGGAGCAGCGGGUACAACUCCUGCAUCUGCUGCUCCACAGGGGACAACGCUGUGGUGAUAAGACGGUUAAGAAGAGAACAAAUACAGAAAUACAACAACAUCCACACAAGGUCAGAAUAGCUGCAAAAACAGCAACAGAGAUAAGGACUGAAUCUACAAGAUUUUUGUAUUUUCCAAAUACAUUCAUCCAAUCAUCCCAAAAGGAGUUAUCUAUUCCUGAGUGGUCUUUCAUUUUGCUGUGAAGCGUUUUUAGGCCCUCUAUGGCUCGAGUGAGGCUGCCAUCAGCAGCAGUGUUAUCAGGAAUGAACGUGCAACAUGUUUCUCCAAACAUGGCACAUACACCUCCUGUUUCUGCCAGCAGCAUGUCAAGGGCUAUACGGUUUUGGAAAGCCAUCAGGGAUGUUGCAGAUAACUGCGAGUGACCGGCCUGAAAACCAGCCUCAGUCCAAUUACCUAGCUUUUGAACGUUGAAAUGGAUGUAGUUGAUUCUGAUUCGAUCUAUAUUUUUGUUCAUUGUACACCAAGGACAGACGAGAGACUCAAAGCCUGCAGCAACUUGAUUUACUAGUUUAUACUCAUCUGGUACCUCACGAGGAACUAUCUAUAUAAGUCGGGUCUGACUCUGUUUGCUAAUUUCUUUUUACUCUGGAGUGGCUCAACAAAGGAAUAAGACUAACUGCAGAGAUUAAAUUUGCCACACUGGUCUGGAAAGUUACAACAGUUAGGAUUAAAGUCUCUAAGGCCCUAUUAUCAGUCUGCUGUCAUUCAGGUACAGCUACAGAAACACGUACAGGUUUGUUAUGGUUAGGGAAUUCCUAGUACAGACAUAGAAGUUAGACGAUUCUUCAUUUUUACUAGAUAUUUUUGCAUAUCUGUACCACAUGUUCACUUCAAAUAAAUCUUUUUUUAAUUUUUUUUUAUUUUAUUGAGUGGGAUUGCGAAGCAUUCCCACUAUAUUUUAUCCAUAUCUUUAUUAAUAUUAUUCUUCCACCAUUUUUUAAAUUAUUAUUUUUUUUUUUAUUUUGAUGUACCUUUAAUAAACAUAAGUAUAAGUGUUUAUUGACAAAACGAGCAUACACAAAAUCCCAUUGUAAACAGAAUAACACAAACGCCUAGUAGCAGUUAAGCUAUGGUAAAGUUCUCAGUGUCUUCACCACAUGAAGCAACUGUGGUGUCCGUCUGGGUGAUUCAUACCCCUGCUCACUGUCUCUCAGGUUUCCUCUCUGCACAUGGUCGCCUUCAGAACAGCUGAAUGUGAUUUUUGAUUGGUUGUCACACAGGGUGUGAGGACUAUUGUUGUUGUCACUUCUCUUUCCUUCCUUAAGUUCAUCUGAAGUUGUAAAUAAUGUUUUCAGUAGGUAAAUUAACAGCAUCAGGUUUAGCAGAAGUAAGAUACUUAACUUCCCCAUUUUCCUAAGCUCCUAAGGAAUUCAACACCAUCUAAUCUUCACUGACAUUGAGACGAACGCCCACUAUAAGGACGCCCCCCUUUGAAGUCAGACUUUCCUAACUAAAACCCAUAUAGGUUUUUUUUGCAAUGGGAAAGAUGUAUCCAACUACUUCUUUGUGCUAUUUUUACUGCUGUGGGUGUCAUUAGCAGUACCCCUUUUUUUUUUUUUUUUACUCCUUCCACUUACUUCAACGUAUUCAAAACCAUUCAAACUUCAGGAGAUUCCAGCUUAUAUUCAAAAUUUUCCUAACAUUCUUCCAAGAUAUUCCAGGUUUUCCAACCAAUUUUUCUUAUUAGAAAUACAUUACGGAAUUUUUAAAUUGGCCCUUUUCUCACAUUUUUACACAACUUACACAACUUUAAAAGCCUUCAACUUCUCUAUACAUCCAGAUUAUGAUCAUUUUAAUUUUUCAGUUUUAAAUCAUUUCAUUCUUCACUCAGUAUUCAAUUUUUUCAAACUAAUUCCAACUCAAUUAAACUGAUUUAAACCUUUCUGAAUCUUCAAAUCUCAUCUCUUUCGCAUAAUUUUUGAACUUAAACCAUUUACAAUAGCAGCUUAGCAAUUACAAUUUUAGCUGGAGCAAUCCAUCUUGCAAUUUCUUCAGAAAUUGCAUUUUCUAGUUAUUAUUUAUUUAUUUAUUUAUUUAUUUCAUUUACAAAAUGAGUUCCAUUGUCACUGUAGAUUCGUUUUGGAAUGCCAAAUCAAGAAAUUAUUUCUCUACGCAGGAUUUUUGCUACUGUUAAUGCAUCUGGAUGGGUGACAGGAAAUAAUUCUAUCCAUUUAGUGAAAGGAUCUAUUAACACUGAACAGUAUUUCUUUCUCUCACACUGAUUUAAUUCUAUGAAGUCCAUGUGUAUGGCUUCAAAUGAUGCAUUGGUUGGUGGAAAUUUGCCUCUGUUUGGUUUUAUAUUGUCUUGAGCAUUAUGUCUACCACAAACUGAACAAAUCAAAUAGUUAAUUAUUUAUUUAUUUUAUUUUUUAAAUAAUUUACGAAUCAAUAGGGGGUAAAGUGUUGAUUAACUACUACACUCAUCCCUCCUGUCGAGACAUGGCAAGGCCCAUGACUCGCUAUUACUGCCUUUAAAGCUCUCUCUGUUUGCUGAUCUGACAAAAAUCUUUCGUUUGGAAAACCUAAUCUGUGGCAGUUUAUGUCCAAGAGCUGUUUUUUUUUUUUUUUUUUUUUUUUAUACUGGAGUCACACAAAAAGGUUACAGGUAAACCAUGAAUCAUUAACUAUAUCUGCGGUUUUAUGUCUGCAUAAUGUAUUCCUUCUCCAACAGACUGUUGCAGCUCGGCUAUCGAAGGGACAGAUACAGGAAAUCUGUCCUGCCACAAGCUAUUGCACUGUUAAAUAACACACAUAUGUCAGACAGGGACUCACACCUGUCUGCUGUAUAGUCCAUUUUUAAAAACUCCUAUCACAUCAGAUUACCGAGCACCUUAAAUUGUCUGUAUAUCUAUCAUCCCAUCUGUAAUAUUUCGUAUUUCAUAUUUAUCACUCAUUUCAUAUUUAUUACUCAUUUCAUAUUUAUUACUCAUUUCAAUAGUCCACGUUCUUCAUAUCUCACUUUUAUCUCUUAGGAUGAUUAGCAUAUUUAGCCUAUAUUUAUUGUAUAUACUUAGUAUUUUUAUUAUUUUUAGUCUGCAUUGUACUUCUUCUUAUAUUUAAUUCUAUUUUGUAUUUUCUUUUUGCUGCUGUAACAAGAGAAUUUCCCAGUUUGGGAUCAAUAAAGUAUAUUUAUCUAUCUAUCUAUCAAAAACAUAUAUAUUUAUUUAUCUUCUCCAAGUUGAGCACUUCUUCCUCUUCUGUCUCUUCUCUGUUCACACUUUCUCUUCAUUUCUGUCAAAUAACACUUGCUGUCUCUCCCUCUUUUACUCGUGCUUGAUACUUUUUUCUACAGCUCUUCACCUAGUGACCAAAGCUCUGCAAUUCUCUGAUGUUGUGGUUCACGACCUUGGUCAGGGUACUAUUCUUCACCUCUCAGCUCCUGUGAUUCAUAAACUUUUGUCAAAACUUCUACUUCCUCUAUCGUUUUCUCUAUUGAAAUUCCUGCCUCUUAAACUGCUUCUUUCUUGUUCUCUCUGUCAUAGUCAUCAAAUGGUUUAUCAUCUCUCUUAUUAUCCCAUAGUCGUCCUAUUUAUCUCAUGUAGUAUGAAAUUCAUUGUCACAUUUGGAGUUAAUCUUACGUUAAAUAGCAUUAUAGGGAGGGCUUUAAUUCCAAGUUAGCUUUGGUGUUCUCUGCACUUUACUAUGGUUACUUCUUUAAGUUCCAAUAAGGUAUAAUAUCAAUCAGUUGGUUCAAAUGUUUAACAGGGAUGCCAGCUGAGGUCAGAAAACCUCUUCUUCUCCAACGACACUUGUCUACAUGUACAACUUAUACUUCAUAGACUGUAACAGUUUAGUCACAGUUUUGUCUUUUAAUAGCUACAUGCUUCUGCAUAGGGAGGGAUUCUUUGGCUGCUGUGUCUCUGGAGGAGUCAAGGUCGUAACUGGCCUCUGAUGUAUCAUUUUAUCAUUUGUGCAGAGAACAGAGACUGUACAGAGAAUUUAACUUGCUAUAAAUUUGCAGUCUGCAUUAAACUUUUCUGCCUUUUUAACUGCCUUUUCUACCUUUCAUUUCUGCAUUAUUAUCAGUAUUAUUUUUAUAAUUAUUAUUAUUAAAGUUGUCUUUACUUAUAGCUUUUGAUCUCGUCCUGACUGCUCACGCCUUCCUCCCUUUGAUUUGUUAUUGCAACUACGGGCUAUAUGUCCCUCCUUUCCACAUGCCCAGCAACCUGUCCCUCUUUGAUUUGCUCCUCCUGGUCUGGGCCUAUCUUGUCCUCUACCUCUGAACCCUUUUCUGCUUGCUUUUGCUUCCUUUUUCCAUUCAUCAACCAUUUGACUCCCAUAUUUUUGUGCUUUCUUUAUAUCACCCUCUGAUUUUUCGGUUAUGGAGUCUUGUAGUUUAUUUAAUUGGCUUGUUCUUAGGCUGCCAUCGAAUCCAAAUUUAAUUACCUAUAAUUCGAGGAUUUGUAAUUUUUCGGGCUCUGAAAACUGAAAACUGAAAACUUUCCAGUCUUGACUUUUUAGUUUGUCUAAUUUAGCCUUACUGGCUCCCGUCCCCAUUUUUAUGUGUUUUGGUCCAGCUUAGGUGACACCUAGGGUGUCCUAUUAAGCUGGGUUCUUUCAAUGGGGUAGUGAAAAAAUUCCUUAUGUGGUAAUUCUCGCUUCUACUCUUGCAAGUGGAGAAUUCUUGCCUUUGCUUCCACAAUAAGGUCACUACUUACAAUCCCACUGUUUUGGUAUGAACAGGAUAUAUCUAGUGAUAUAUCUCUAUUCCAAUCACUCUCACACUUUCACAAUCACACUUUUAACACGUGUUUUGUUCUGCAGAAUUUUCUCAAUCAGGCCUUUUUCCCACGGAUUUCUAGGACCCGCGCGUCCUUUUUUAACGGCUUUGUAGGACCCGCGCGUCCUUCAAUUUAACUUUUCCAAUCUGGACUCUACCGUCCUUUUUUCUUUUUUUUGUUUGGUCUUUUAUAGAUUCUCUACACGGAGCGAAUCUCAAUCAUUCCACGUUUCUUUUUAUAAAAGGCCAACUCACCACUUGUCUUUCCCCUUGGCUUCGGAUUUCCGUCAACCGUCAGAUCCCAGCAGGCAGGUCGAGUCCAGUUCCUCAAAGAGAGGCUGCCGUGGCCACGGUCUUAUCUGUCAUCCACCUCACCUGCUGGAAUCGUCAGGUCUAUUGGAAUCCGGCUCGAAGGACCAAAGAAAUGUUAGGUCUAAAACCUGCAACAUUUACCUGAUAACAUAUAAAGAAGAGAAAGACAAUGGUAUAUACUCGAGGAGAAUGGACCGAGAUAGCUUCAGGUACCAUCUCGAAACCACUCUGAAAGGUAUUUCCGCCCAGUCUCUUUUAUUUAGGGUUGUCCCUGGUCACACAAUGUUUCUAAAGGGUGGGGAAAAAUAUGUGUAGCAACGUAAGCACUCUCAUAAAGCAUAAUAAUGAACAACUUGUGAAUAUGUGAAGGUCAAGGCGGCAUCUAACGAGCUCCUUCUGAUAAGCGUGUCCUCCCCUUAUUUCCUUCCCACGAUUCAUAGUGGAGGAUACAUCACACACACCUGCUGAUAGGAGAAACGAGUUCACAGAGAAGUUAAGAAACAUUCAUGUGCUGUGUAAUUAAGCUAUUGGAGAGAGAAGUUAGAAAACACUCUUUUAUGAUAAAAAUACUCUUAUAUGAUGUAUAAAAAGAGGUCAAAGCAGUUUAUACUUGUAGUAUAAACUCUUACAUAAGAAUAUGAGGAAUAAUGAUAACUUCUAUAUACAUUUAUGCACAUUAUUCUAACAAUA
rnacentral:lncRNA from 1 species